rnacentral:misc_RNA from 1 species
GAUGAAGAACGUAGCGAAAUGCGAUACGUAAUGUGAAUUGCAAAUUCAGUGAAUCAUCGAGUCUUUGAACGCACAUUGCGCCCCCUGGUAUUCCGGGGGGCAUGCCUGUCCGAGCGUCACUGCUGCCCUCAAGCACGGCUUGUGUGUUGGGCCCCGUCCUCCGAUCCCGGGGGACGGGCCCGAAAGGCAGCGGCGGCACCGCGUCCGGUCCUCGAGCGUAUGGGGCUUUGUCACCCGCUCUGUAGGCCCGGCCGGCGCUUGCCGAUCAACCCAAAUUUUUAUCCAGGUUGACCUCGGAUCAGGUAGGGAUACCCGCUGAACUUAAGCAUAUCAAUAAGCGGAGGA